GUCUUGGAGCGAUUGGCCCCAAAGUGAGGGUGUCGGUGUCGACGUCCGACUGCAGUAGAAAACCUUUCAGUCUCGAGGGACGGCAUCGACGCCACGGGCGUCCAGGACGCAGCGGAUGCAGCAAUGCUAUGCCGGUAGGGGUGCCCGCAGCACUCCAAGCUUUCGACCUCGGAUCAGGUAGGGAUACCCGCUGAACUUAA
rnacentral:misc_RNA from 1 species